rnacentral:rRNA from 1 species
GAAAAUGUGCAGCUGAGGGGUUGGAUGUUGUGCAGGCAUGAGUUUUCCUUUUGCCCAAUCGAGCUUGGCUUUGGGAAGAAGAGAAAGGCGUUUGAUGGAGGCAGGUCCCUCAGGUGGGGAGAAGAGCCUGUGCUCCACCUGGCCAGUGAAGUGGUGGCUGCCCUGUCAAUGCCUUUGCCUUUUUUCACAAAAGAGGUAAAAAGGAGCUGUGCACUUGAAACUUUGAUGCUGGCAAGCCUACACGUACCGGGCAUUAUGGGAGUACCUCCUGUCUGUGGAGCUUGUGAGAUGAUGCAGCAGCAGCAGCAGCAACAGCAACAGUCAAUUUGGGUAUAA